AGGACGAACGCUGGCGGCGUGCUUAACACAUGCAAGUCGAGCGGUAAGGCCUUUCGGGGUACACGAGCGGCGAACGGGUGAGUAACACGUGGGUGAUCUGCCCUGCACUCUGGGAUAAGCCUGGGAAACUGGGUCUAAUACCGGAUAUGACCUGCUCUCGCAUGGGGGUGGGUGGAAAGAUUUAUCGGUGCAGGAUGGGCCCGCGGCCUAUCAGCUUGUUGGUGGGGUAAUGGCCUACCAAGGCGACGACGGGUAGCCGACCUGAGAGGGUGACCGGCCACACUGGGACUGAGACACGGCCCAGACUCCUACGGAAGGCAGCAGUGGGGAAUAUGCACAAUGGGACGAAAGCCUGAUGCAGCGACGCCGCGUGAGGAUGAAGGCCUUCGGGUUGUAAACCUCUUUCAGCAGGACGAAGCGACAAGUGACGGUACCUGCAAGAAGAAGACACCGGACUAACGUACGUGCCAGCAAGCCCGAC
rnacentral:rRNA from 1 species